UACGGGAGAGGCAAGCGUUGUUCGGAAUCACUGGGCUUAAAGCGCGUGUAGGCGGCUCGGUAAGUACUUUGUGAAAUCUCCCCUCUCAAUGGGGAAAUUGCUUGGUAUACUGCCGAGCUUGAGGUAGGUAGGGGUGCCUGGAACUCUAGGUGGAGCGGUGAAAUGCGUAGAUAUCUAGAGGAACGCCCGUGGCGAAAGCGGGGCACUGGGCCUGUCCUGACGCUGAGACGCGAAAGCGUGGGUAGCAAACGGG
rnacentral:rRNA from 2 species